AUUAGUGAGAGGCUUGGGAGGGUUUUAAUUUUUGUUUUGUUUUAAGAUACUUAUUACAAUUGGUCCAUACUGAUUUUUUUACGGUUUUAUCUAAAAUUCUGCCAAAAGGAUGAUAGAAAUAUAUAAAAAUUGUAGUUUUGAUAUAUUGUUUACGUUAAUUUAUUUAGACCAAUCAAAUUUAAUAACGUGCUGACUGAUUAAAUCAAUCAAUUGAGUGUUGUGAUUAAAUAAUUUCAAUUUAAAGAAAAUUUGAAUUGUGACAAAACAGGUUGAUUUCCUUGAGCGUUUGAAUUUAAUUAACGCUAAGAAAAAUUAUUCAAAAUUAAAUGAUAACAUUGAAAGACAAAGAUAAACAAAAAAGAAGUGAAAAUGUAUUUACCAGGGCCUCUUUCGUGACAGCUUGUUCGUCGCUGCUCCCUUGGCUCUCGUUCGACGAUUCAUCGCUGAUCAGCGGCUUGAACCUGGAUGGGAUCAUUUCGCCGAGUCGUCGUCUAGGAGGCGGACCGAGCCUGAACGGAGCAUCCCAGGGUGAAACGGCUCCGCGAGAUCUGGCGUCGACGGAGUGGCAGAUUCAAAAAGACAGCGCCAUUAAGCGUGCUGGACACCGGUCGCCCUUCUCGGUUUCGCUUUCCUUCCGAUUCAUACGCGGAUUGCGGAUAACAGGGGGAGCCGGCGUCGAGACUCCACACGAAACGGGCGCCAAACCAAAAAGAAAAAGUCAACACGAUGUUCGGCAGUCAGCGAGACGCCUCAUCAUUGGAACUAUACUGCAUUGAAUAAUUUAUUCAACUCAGCGGUGAUGAUUUUGCCGCGAUAUUCAGUCUGACCAACCUUCAAUAUAAUGAAAAAUUAUAUCAUA